rnacentral:piRNA from 1 species
GAGUUUGUGACUAGGCUCGCCCGUAAU